rnacentral:lncRNA from 1 species
AGAGGGAGGAGGCUCUCAGGGCAUUUGUGAUAAUAGCACUCCACUCUACUACUACAAAGUGCUCAGCCAACAUGUAUACUAAAUAGGGCUUAUUCUGUGCAGCUGGGGUUCAGUCACAAAACAAGUGCAAGCAGAAGGCAUCACACAGGUGUGUUUCACAAGCAUGGCUGGACCUUUCACUUGCUGAUCCAAACACCAGUAUCAAAGGAUUAGCAAAACAGGAAAUCCACAUGACACCAAAUUAGCUGCAUCUCAGCAAGAAGGCUAAAACAGGCAGUUGAGUCAGUGAUCUGCGAGCAGAGUGGAGCUAGAUUGUCUGGUGGGAUCUCCAGUCCUGCACCCUUCACCUUAAAGCCGCGAUCGAAAAGAUGAAGCCCCUCCUGUGCCUUCUGUCUUUAAUAACCAUUGAGCCCCUGAGGGGUUUCAAUAUCGACACCAACAGGAAGUGGAUGACAACUCACAGAGACCAUCUUUCUUGGCCCAAGGUCCUUCAGUACUCUGGCCUCAAAGCCUGGAUUUUGGCAACUUCCUCAGAAGUUAACAGCCAAAGCAGGAUGCUUGGCAGGCUGAAUAAGUGCACUCUUGCCAAAGAAGCGAUUGAGUGUAAGGAGAUUGGUCUGAGAGGUACAGUCCAGCUCAUUGUUCUUAAGUAGUUUCUUCAAGUAAAUUUUGAAUAGGAUGGGGGAGGAAGGAAUCUGACAAACACUAGGGUGCAACAUCACCGAGAUGAUGAGAGGGAGGCAGAGAGGGGUUCAUGAUACAUUAGGGUCUCCAGGUUUUCAUGGGGAAAAGAAAUCCAGAUACACGUUAGCAGGGAAAGGG